GAAGCUUUGUUUGGAGUGGUGCUGCUGCUGGAACCUCAACUGGAUUUUGCUGCUCAGUUCAGUGGGAAGAAGCCAGGAUUUGAGCUGCUGUGGCUCCGUGUGCCCGGCUAUGGGGGCAGCAGGAGGAGGCUGUGAUGGGGGACUGUCGAUGCCAAUCCUUUUGCAGGCUUGUGGAGUGGGGUACAGGAUCAGAGCACCCCAAAAUUGGCUGCAGGCAGGAACAAAGCCUGGAUCCAAGUGUGGAGCUGGGGAAGGGCACACUGGGAGCUGCAGCCAUGGGAUUUGGGACACAUUUCUGGCAGCCUGCGCUGAACCCUGUGGCCUCCUGCUUGUCGUGUGUCCAUUUUCCUCUGGAAUGCACCCAAAAGUCGUGGAAGCAGAACUGCAGCUCUGUCCAUGGAGCUGAGCCGUGCACCGCUGAGCGGCGACGUCACGAUUUGUGUCCGGAUUAAAGGGAAAUUAAAAUUAAUCCUCGCAGCCCAGGGAGAUCUCUGGGGUUUAACAUUUUUUUCCCUGAUCAUUCAGUAUUUUUAGCAGAUGUUUUUUUUUUUAUUUUUGGUUCCUCACAGAAGCAGCAGGUACUGGAAAUCCCAGCCCUGUCCCUGCAGCCUCAUCAUCUGUGCUGGGAGUGAUGGGAGGAAGGAUGGUACCAGGGAAAAUUAAAACAGGCUGGGGUUGGCAGCGGUGGGGUCUGAGGGGAGGCGACACCUGGGCCGCCUUUUGGGGCAUUUUGAGGCGAUUUUGGGGUUUUUGGUGAGGU